UUAGUUGGUGGGGUAAAGGCCUACCAAGACUAUGAUGUGUAGCCGGGCUGAGAGGUUGAACGGCCACAUUGGGACUGAGACACGGCCCAAACUCCUACGGGAGGCAGCAGUAGGGAAUUUUCGGCAAUGGAGGAAACUCUGACCGAGCAACGCCGCGUGAACGAUGAAGUAUUUCGGUACGUAAAGUUCUUUUAUUAGGGAAGAAUAAAUGAUGGAAAAAUCAUUCUGACGGUACCUAAUGAAUAAGCCCCGGCUAACUAUGUGCCAGCAGCCGCGGUAAUACAUAGGGGGCAAGCGUUAUCCGGAAUUAUUGGGCGUAAAGGGUGCGUAGGCGGUUAAAUAAGUUUAUGGUCUAAGUGCAAUGCUCAACAUUGUGAUGCUAUAAAAACUGUUUAGCUAGAGUAAGAUAGAGGCAAGUGGAAUUCCAUGUGUAGUGGUAAAAUGCGUAAAUAUAUGGAGGAACACCAGUAGCGAAGGCGGCUUGCUGGGUCUUUACUGACGCUGAGGCACGAAAGCGUGGGGAGCAAACAGGAUUAGAUACCCUGGUAGUCCACGCCGUAAACGAUGAGUACUAAACGUUGGGUAAAACCAGUGUUGAAGUUAACACAUUAAGUACUCCGCCUGAGUAGUACGUACGCAAGUAUGAAACUUAAAGGAAUUGACGGGACUCCGCACAAGCGGUGGAUCAUGUUGUUUAAUUCGAAGGUACCCGAAAAACCUCACCAGGUCUUGACAUGCUUCUGCAAAGCUGUAGAAACACAGUGGAGGUUAUCAGUUGCACAGGUGGUGCAUGGUUGUCGUCAGCUCGUGUCGUGAGAUGUUGGGUUAAGUCCCGCAACGAGCGCAACCCUUAUUGUUAGUUACCAGCACGUAAUGGUGGGGACUUUAGCAAGACUGCCAGUGAUGAAUUGGAGGAAGGUGGGGACGACGUCAAAUCAUCAUGCCCCUUAUGACCUGGGCUACAAACGUGAUACAAUGGCUGUUACAAAGGGUAGCUGAAGCGCAAGUUUUUGGCGAAUCUCAAAAAAACAGUCUCAGUUCGGAUUGAAGUCUGCAACUCGACU
rnacentral:rRNA from 1 species